GCAGGGCAGACGGGAAGGAGAAAGAGAAACAAGAACCCUGGGACAGUUGGGCUCUACAGCUAAGGUAUUCAGCUGAUCCCAUUUGAUCCUGCACCUCCAGCUGAGGAUGGGUGUGGCAGAUACCAGACAUUGUGGACCAGGAUGUAAGAACCCCUUUAGUCCCUGUGAAGUCAUCUCUAAUCCAGUGUGAAUACUUUCUCCAUGGCCAAAUUCAGUCUACCAACAUGACUCCAUCAGCGAACACAGAACUGUGAAGAGAUGUUCACACUUGAUGGGGUGAGUUAAUGGCAAGACCUACACACCAUAGCACGCAAUGCAAAGAAGUCGUAUCAUAAUUACAAACCCCUAUCUCUGUAAAAAGCAAAUAUAUUAACAAGGGUCCAAUAUUUAUAACUUUUUAAAGUAAAAUGUACAUAGUGAAUUAAUCUUAUAUGUACAAUGUCAAUGAGUUUUGAUAUGUA
rnacentral:lncRNA from 1 species